rnacentral:tRNA from 1 species
GGCCUCGUAGCUCAGUUGGCUAGAGCGUUGGCUGUACUACAGCCUUCCCUUUGCUGACGUGGGUUCGAAUCCCCCGGAGGCCG